AACAUCGCGCACCUGCGGGAACCUGCGGAAGGAUCAUUAAUAAUUGGUGGCUGUUGCUGACUAGUGUUUCUAGUAUGUGCACGCCACACCUUCAAUCCCACUUACACCUGUGCACCUUCUGUAAUAGAUCUAUGUGGAUACGGAGAUAUGAAAGUUUGCGCUCUCGUACUCUGUUGAAGCAGUCUACUACGUUUUUUUACACACACACAAUAGUCAUUGAAUGUAUUUUUUAUUCUUAUG
rnacentral:misc_RNA from 1 species